CUGGAUUCCAGGUACUAGGGCAAAGCAGCCUGGGGUUUAAAAAUUUGCCACAAAUAGUUCUUAAACUGACCAAGCCAAGCCCUUAGCAGAUCCUGCUGGAAGAACAGCAUCAGUGUGACCUCCUGCUGUUGGAGCCCUGUACCCCUCCCUCCCCCUUCCCUCUAGAGAUCCCUGCAGUGUAGGGUCCUUCUGGGAUGGGAUCACUUCCUCAUUUUGGUUGUCUUACUUUACCUCUCCCUAGCUUACCUGGAACUCAGUAUAUAGCAAAAGCUAUUCUAACAUUCCUGAUCCACCUCUUGGAUUCCUGAUCAGGCUCAGCCUCUCAAGUGCUGGGUGUGAACCAGACCUGGCAACCUGUCUCAUUUUUGAUAACCUUUGACUCUCUGCUGUCUUUAUCCAAUCAAAGGACGUCCCUGAAUCCUGUCUGCCCAAUGUCUUAGAAAUGCUAAUGUUUGGAAUAGGGAAUUCCUUCCUUCUCUGCCCACAGCACCAUUCCCACCUCACCCAUCCCAGUUGACGGCAGCAAUGGGGGCAGUGAUCUCCCUCUGCCCAAGUAUUCUGCCUAGCCCUAAACCUAACCACACCUUAGCUCUGCUCACUGGCUUUUUUCCCUCUCCACAAACAGUAGGCUAGAUAACCAGCCCUCAAGGCCCCAGGAAUCUCUGCAGACUCUUGACAAUCUGAGGUGGCAUGGGAUUAAAAUGGCAGCUUCCUGCUUCCCUUUCCGUCCCACACAGUCUUUGCUCUCAACACACUCCACUGGUCUCAGAGGAACCAGGCUCAGAAAUCCUCCUUGACUUCAACGGGAAUACCCACUGAUCUACACAUUUCCUUCAUCUCAAGAUAUUUGCCUUUUGAGGGCCAACUGCCAGCUCCUCCACCCUACCCUGCCCUCACAUUCCCCUCAAACAAAGCUUUCCUGUCAGGUUUUUGACCCUGAUGAUUUUUAACUGAACCCCCCCUUCCCUUUCCCCCUUCCUCUCUUAAUUCUGAAGGGUCUUUUGUCUUCUAAGUCAAAUAGCUCAGACUGAGAGGGCCGGAUAUCUCCUUUUUUCUUCUCUUGUAAGUAACUGGGAAAGAAUUUGGGGAGGGGUCAUAGAGGAGGAGGUGGGUACAGGCCUGGCAAAUUCAGGGCCAGCCUGUGCUAUAUGAAACCCCUCCUCUAAAAAUAAAAACAAGUAUGGGGGGAGGGGACCAGUUAGGAAAUUGUUUUCUUCUUCAAAAAUCUGUUUAAAUAAAAACAAAGAGGAAGGCCUUGAAAACGUGAAAGAAAAAGAAGACCUCCCCUCCCCCAAAGGAGAGGGGAGGCAAAGGGAUGACUAGAAAACAAGGAAGGCCUGCAGACUCCCUGAGCAAAGAAGAGACAGAACCCUUCAUGACGUGUAUCCAUUGAGCAGUUUCUCACCAGUGUUCCCACCCAUUGCACUCGGGAACGCUGGCAUGACUUGGUCCACCCUCCACACCUCCAGGAUCUCACAUGCAGCACUGGCAUCAUUCAGGGGUUGGAUGAAAUCUUGGCUUUCAAACUGUACUCCAAAGGUGCCCAAGGCCUGGGAGAUGGCUCAGCAGGAGUAAAGGAAGGACAUGUUCAUUCUGGAUCAUAGGCAAUACUUGGCAAGUUCCCCAUGUGCUACGGAGCAACCUGAAGCCCUGGAGCAGUGAGCAGUUUUGCCUAGGUGGAAAGUCAAGGUGAAAGUCACCUGUCUGACUGACUCCCAUUCUAAGCUGAUACCCUGGGCAAUCAGGAGAGAAGAAUGGGUAAACACUACUCAAAAGAAGAAAAAAGGGAGAGGCAAAGGACCAAAGACCCAAGAAUCAAAGUUUUUAAAAAGUGGGAGAAAGGAUGGAAAAGGAGGGGGAAACAGCUGGUGGCCAUGAGCAUAUGGGGAGCUGCCUUCAGAUAAAAAGGAAAACUAGAGAACUUGAUGCUGGGGGGGGGGCAUUUGGAAGGAAAGUAGAUGCUGAACACAGGAAAAGGGGGCUAGAAGAGAGAUGGCUGCUACCUGGCAACCAGUGACCUCAAAUGGGCAUCCCCGUGGUCCUGGUCACAAGAUUUCCUGACUCCCUCCAUCACCCAAACAGUUACCUUGGUGGAGAAGAGAGUACUCUGGAAUCACAUCCUCCUCAUCCUCCCAACACCCCAUCCCCAACCUCCCCAAACACCGAUAUCCCAAGCUUCCCUGCUGUCAGCUAGCUGGUCCUGAGGGAACAUAAGAAAACCCCAUACACACUCCACGGGCCUCUAUGGUCCUUCCAUCUCUCUCCCACGUGCUGGGGUCUCUUGUGCCUUCCCUUCCUAUGAGAGAGAGGGUGGGGGAGAGCGUGCGCUUCACUUUUCCAAUGAAGGGAAAGCUAUAGCAGCCUGCAGUUUGCUGUUUGUUUUGUUAUUUGCUGUUUGUUUUGUUAUGUUUUGUUUUGAACAACACAUAAUCCUGGGCCUUGGGGAACUUGCAAUUUGGCUGGAAAACUGAAAGGUCAAUGCUUUAAAACUGAGAAUACUGAGCCUGUAAACUGAGCUAAAUGGGAGGAGGGCUGGGGAGGAAGAGCCUCUGGGCUUCAUGCGGGGGUAGACACCAGGUUCUGAGGGUCCUGGCAGGGAAGACGAAGAAGCCUCCAUCAGGAAACUUUUAGUAUCCACAGAGUCCUGCAAGCUGGAAGUAGAUGGCCCUGGUUUUCAUUUCUUCCCUUCCCCCACAGCUCAGCUCUGGUUGCCCUCUGAGAUGAUUAAAACCAAAAGAAUUUCAGUGUCUGGAAUUCACUUCUCACCACGAUGCCAUUUGCUUCCUUUUCUCUCCUACGGUUUUUUCUCUUGGGAGAGCUGUUUGCUUCACUCCUUUCUUCUGGA